AACUUGCUGGCUUAUAACCCGAUUCUGGUUACCUAAUGUUGGGCCUGCUAACGACGUUUAUUCCAUAAUUAUGAAUAUAUUUUAUUCAGGGGGUGUCCUAGCUCCAGCUGCAAUGGUCGCUGACAUGCAUUGGACGCACCCAGUGAUGGGGAGUGCUGGUGGACAGGAUCUGCGCGUCCUAUCAGAAAGUGAGUCAGACCUUCGGCAGUGAGCCAGUCAAAGAAAUGAGUGAAGCGAUAGUGCCCGUCAUCCUGUCUAUCCUCCGCCAGCCCAGCGUAAAAGAGACGGAGAGCGGAAAAGAACAACGACGAACCAUUGAAUCAACAGAGGACG